GAGUAGGUACACAAUAGCGGUCAUUUAGUGAAGACCUGAGGCAAAUCAGUGACCAGACUUAGAAGGCGAAAGGAACGAUAGUUGGGUAGCCAAACAUUUCCACAAAAGGAUUGCUGAGAAGAUUAAACGAGUGGGCCCUCAAUUCAGUGACUGGCAUCCUUAUAAGAAGAGAUGAGGACACAGAGACAUGGAGGGAAGAAGAUCAUGUGAAAGACAUAGGCAGAGAUUGGAGAUCUGCUGCCACAAGACAGGGAAGCAGGAACCAUC